UCCUAAGUAAAUUUUGGCGCGCAGGGAUCAGUUUUGUGUGGAAAGUGAUAGUGAGUGGACGUGUCGUCGCAGCCGGCUUCGAAAAUUCUACUACGCAAUUAUUACCCGAUUAUUGGUAUAAUUUGAAAGGCGGGAAGAAUUUCAAUAUGGACGCCAUCGUACUUUUUGAAGAAAAGGUUUGAUGUUUCAUUUUACUGUAUGUAUUUAUUCUGUUUUUAUUCGAUCGGUUUUAUGAUAUACUUUAUCAUUUUAAAGUAUAUUAUAAUGAAUAUUUAUAAUGAACAUUCACCAUAAAUAUUAAUAGUUUUGUAUUAAUGAUAUAUAUACUAUUUUCUUGUAUAUAAAAUUUUUUUAUUCAUAAAAAAAAUUGAUAAUAAUGAAUCCAUAGUUUCAAUAAAAAUGACAAUUUUUUUCUGAAACAAAUGAUAGAAAGAAGAAGAAAAAAAUAUUUUGCUUCUUUUUCUAUUAUAUUCCCCCCCAUUAUUAAUACAGUUUUAUUUUCAGACAAUUAUUGUGAUCGCGCGCAAUGCGAUCGGUAGAUUCAGUGUUUGUUUCGUAACAGUUUUUUAAUAUUUUAGAGCGCGAUAGCUCUAAUUAAAUUUACUUAUUAUAAUCGGGAAAUUAGAAUCAGUGUUUAUUCGCCGAUUGUAAAUUAAACGGACGCGUUAAUAGUUUUUUAUUUUUAUUUUUUUUAUUUUUAAUAUUCGUUUUCGGUACAGAGUAGAGUCAGUGUUUCUCUAAGGAAGAAGGCAGUCAUCCAUCACGCGAAGAGAUGCCUGACUUUGCCAGUGAACAUUUCUGUUGGAUUUCAAUUUUAAAUAACGUUUUGUGACCGCGUGCAAUGCGGUCUGUAGAAUCAGUGUUUGUUCCGUAACAGUUUUUUUUUAUUUUUUAUAUUUUAAUGUAUAAUAACUGUUAAUAAUUAAACUGUCAUAAUUAUUCGCGAAAUUAGAAUCAGUGCUUGUUCGUCGCCGAUGUUUUAAAUCGACGCGAUGGUAGUUUUUUAUUUUUA